rnacentral:rRNA from 1 species
CCGGAUCUCAGAUCAAGUAAGAUUACCCGCCUGAAUUUAAGCAUAUAAAUUAAAGCAGAGGAAAAGAACUAAUUAGGGAUUCCCUCAUUAACGGCG